rnacentral:rRNA from 1 species
UACGUAGGAGGCAAGCGUUGUCCGGAAUCACUGGGCGUAAAGCGCGUGUAGGUGGAGCAGGAAGUCUGCUGUGAAAGCGCCUGGCUUAACCGGGCGAGGUCGGUGGAAACUCCUGGUCUAGAGGCCGGUAGAGGGGGGUGGAAUUCCGGGUGUAGUGGUGAAAUGCGCAGAUAUCAGGAAGAACACCCGUGGCUAAGGCGGCUCUCUAGUACGGUACUGACGCUGAGACGCGAAAGCGUGGGGAGCGAACAGG